rnacentral:lncRNA from 1 species
CAAACAUGUGCCACCAACCCCAGGCCUGCAUGCUCCAUUUUUGGAUCAAAUUAUAUACAUGGAGAGAAUGGCAAGGAAGCCCUGCCUCAGAGAAAUGUCUACAAUCCUAGAGUUAAUAAGAAGAGAAAUUAUAGAAGCACACCCAGACUUUCUGGCUCCUGGCUCAGCUUUCCCCAUCAACUCUACAGCUGGGAUACAGAGCAAAGAACAAAGACAGAAAUGCUCUCCAUGCCUAAACACUGUAGCCCUCCGGAUUUUAAAAGAAAAUUCAUAGUUGUUCUCAUUGUCUGACAACCCUUAAAAUUUAUUAUGUUUUGUUCUAUAAUCCUCA